GCAAACUUGGUCAUUUAGAGGAAGUAAAAGUCGUAACAAGGUUUCCGUAGGUGAACCUGCGGAAGGAUCAUUGCCGAGCGUGCGCGCGUGUCGUGGGCAACCCCACGGCGCGCCGCAUUUCUCAACAACCCAUGUGAACUCUGUGAACGUGACUCGUGUGCGGCGCGCGCUCGCGCGCCCCACACACUUUUAACCAACGACGUUGACUGUGCUUCUCUGACUGAGACAAACUGUCCGGCGCUAACGCGACGCGACAUCAUAACCAACAUAUCACAACUUUUAACAACGGAUAUCUUGGCUCGCGCAUCGAUGAAGAACGCAGC
rnacentral:misc_RNA from 1 species